rnacentral:rRNA from 1 species
AGCGUUACUCGGAAUUACUGGGCGUAAAGCGUGCGUAGGCGUCCUGACAAGUUUUAGGUGAAAUGCCCAAGCUCAACUUGGGAGCUGCCUGAAAAACUGUUGGGAUUGAGUACAGAUGAGGUAGGCGGAAUUGACGGUGUAGCGGUGAAAUGCAUAGAUAUCGUCAGGAACACCUAUAGCGAAGGCAGCUUACUAAGCUGUAACUGACGCUGAGGCACGAAAGUGUGGGGAUCAAACAG